UACAGAGACUGCAAGCGUUAUUCGGAUUCACUGGGCGUAAAGGGUGCGCAGGCGGUCGGGUGUGUCAGAUGUGAAAUCCCCGAGGCUCAACCUCGGAACUGCGUCUGAAACUACUCGACUAGAGUACUGGAGAGGGUAACGGAAUUCACGGUGUAGCAGUGAAAUGCGUAGAUAUCGUGAGGAACACCAGAGGCGAAGGCGGUUACCUGGACAGUUACUGACGCUCAGGCACGGAAAGCAUGGGGGAGCAAAAGGG
rnacentral:rRNA from 1 species